CGGCAACAGCCCAGAUUUGAAAUCCGGCCCCCCCGGGCCCGAGUUGUAAUCUGUAGAGGACGCUUCGGGCGAGGCGCCUUCCGAGUCCCCUGGAACGGGGCGCCGCAGAGGGUGAGAGCCCCGUACGGUCGGACGCCGGACCCGCGUGAAGCCCCUUCGAC
rnacentral:rRNA from 1 species